CUGGCGCGCAAUAGGGGUAGCUUUGCCUUGGGCGCAAGAGGUUCCCGGUUCGAAUCCGGGCGCCCAGACCA
rnacentral:tRNA from 1 species